rnacentral:rRNA from 1 species
GGGAAACUGCCUGAUGGAGGGGGAUAACUACUGGAAACGGUAGCUAAUACCGCAUAACCUCGCAAGAGCAAAGAGGGGGACCUUCGGGCCUCUCGCCAUCAGAUGUGCCCAGAUGGGAUUAGCUAGUAGGUGAGGUAAUGGCUCACCUAGGCGACGAUCCCUAGCUGGUCUGAGAGGAUGACCAGCCACACUGGAACUGAGACACGGUCCAGACUCCUACGGGAGGCAGCAGCGGGGAAUAUUGCACAAUGGGCGCAAGCCUGAUGCAGCCAUGCCGCGUGUGUGAAGAAGGCCUUCGGGUUGUAAAGCACUUUCAGCGAGGAGGAAGGCGGUAAGGUUAAUAACCUUAUCGAUUGACGUUACUCGCAGAAGAAGCACCGGCUAACUCCGUGCCAGCAGCCGCGGUAAUACGGAGGGUGCAAGCGUUAAUCGGAAUGACUGGGCGUAAAGCGCACGCAGGCGGUCUGUUAAGUUGGAUGUGAAAUCCCCGGGCUUAACCUGGGAACUGCAUUCAAAACUGACAGGCUAGAGUCUUGUAGAGGGGGGUAGAAUUCCAGGU